AGCUAUUACUUUCAAUUACUGUUCCUUCUUUUUCCUCAUCUCUAUUUUAAUUUAGUGAAAGCAAUGUUCAUUGUUUCGCCCGUGAUUGUUUGUUUAUAUCAUGAUAUAUUGCAAAUUGUUUAAAUCUUAUUACACAAAUUUGGGAAGGAAAAAAAGUACCUUGUCCCUCUUUAGAUAAACAACUUAUUUGCAACGUAUAGCUCAAAUAAGCGCUUAAGUGUAGAAAAAAAAAAAAAAAGUUUAAUUAUUUUUGUAUAAGCUAUAAGCUAUCUUAGAAAUUUUAUCACUCAAACUGAAAGGAAAAUUUUAUCAUACAGUUGUUGUACGACCAGCAUUGUUGUAUGAGACAAAAUGUUGGGUGGUAAAGAAUCAACGCGAGAAUAAAAUAAGGAUAGUGGAGAUGAGGAUGUUGCAUUGGAUGUGUGGUAAGACUAGACAUGAUAGAAUUAGAAAUGAAAACAUUAGAGAGGGUGUUGGGGUAGCACCAUUCGUAGAAAAGAUGGUGGAAAAUCAUCUUACGUGGUUUGAGCAUGUAGAGAAAAGAUCUAUAGAUUAUGUAGUGAGAGUAGAGCAAAUAGAGGGUAGUCAAAUCACUAAAGCUAGAGAAAGACCUAGGAAAACUAUAAGAGAAACUAUUAAGAAAGAUCUAGAGAUUAAUGAGUCGGAGAGGGUAAUGAUAUAUGAUAGAACAUUAUGGCGUUGUUUGAUCCAUGAAGCCAACCCCACUUAGUUGUAUAAGGAUUGGUUGUUGUUGUAUAUAGGUUUAGUUAAGAAAAUUGAUAGUGAAUAUUGGAUAGCUUAAAGAUAUGGUAACUAAAACUGAUAAUGCAAACCCUCUGAUGAACACAAAUUCUUCAAAUUUGUAUCACUACUACACUAGUAGUAAAUAUAGCUGAGGAAGGUGAUGAAAAUGCAGUUGUGGGAGAGGGAAGUAAGAUUAGGAAAUCUAACGUGUGGAGUCAUUUCUCCCUUGGUAGUUACCAAAGGGGGACAUAAGGCAAAAAUAAUCAUUUUCGUGUUUUAUGGUACACUUGGAUAUGUGGUAAAGAUUAGAUAAAGAAGAUGUUUUAGACCGAAGAAAUUAUGUGGGUUAUAACAGUUAAAGCUUGGAGGGUUGUGGCUGAACUUGUAACAUAUUAUGGAAUAUUGUAAAUUUGUACUUGUAACAUAUUAUGGAAUAUUGUAAAGUUGCAGAAUGAUGAAUAUUCUUUUAGAACAUAGAUUUUUGGUGCCGUCUAAGGUCUUAUUUGCAAGUGAAUGUUACCAACUAUUUUUGGAUGAGAAGAAAAAGUGUAAGGCUUGGUUCAUAAAAUGCAGCAUUAAUGUUUGUAUGACAACUGAUUGUUGGACGUCAAAUCAUAAUCUAGGUUACAUGUGCUUGACGAUACAUUUCAUUGAUGAAGAAUGGAGACUAAAAAGAAAGUAUCCUUAAGUUUUGUUUAAUUGAAAAUCAUAAUGUUGAAACCAGUGUAAGAGAAAUUGGAAGAUGUUUAACCCUGUAAAACUAAGAAGAAUGAAAAAAUAAAUUGUGAGAACUUGAGAAUCAUAAAGAUUGGGUGGGAGAGAAGGGUGGCUUGACAUAUGGAGAAAAUAAAAGAUGGAAAGUAGGAGAUAGGAGAUGACUUGAUUAAAUACAAAAUGAAAAUAAGAUUAGUUUCUACAUACGACUAUAUAUAAGAAUAUAAGAAUUAUAUUAUACAAUUUUUUUUUUUAGAAAAAGACUAUUUUAUUUAUUUAUAAGUUCUAUCUCUCACAGUAGUACUGCGUGUGAGAAUUAUUACAUGGCUACUUGAAUUUAAUUUACACUCACCAUGUUCCCACUUUCCCUUGAGUUUGUAGACGCAAGAAGUUAAACAUAGUCUUAUACAUCCUUUCUUGUAAACCACUGAAGACAGAUUUUAAAUGAUCAAUUGAGUUGGAAGUAUGAAUUUUUACAAAUGAGAUAAAACAGCCUAAAAAGCUUAGUUCAUCACUUGCAGGUUCCCCAGACUCUUCAGAUUUAUUUAUCCAUCUCUAAUCUGAGAUCUGAUUAUCUAGAAAAUAGAUGCACAUACACAUGCACAUGUAGAGAUACUAUUAUAUAUUAUUUUUCUUAAUGGCAUAGGGAACCAUCAUACAAUUAUAUGAGUAUAGAAAUUUGGGAAGGACUCUUGAUAUGUCUUUUGCACAACAACACAAAGGAGAGUGGAAAUUAGAGAAUAUUGGAGAAACUAGAGAACUAAUUUAUUUUGUUAUCAUUCUCACAGCAGUGGCGGAACUGGGGGGUGGCAAGGGGGAGCCACCGCCACCCCAUUCUAAAAAUAAAUAAAUUUUUUUAUAUAUUGGAAAUUACAAAAAUAUCCUUCAAUAGUACUAAUAUUUCCUAUUCAGUCUCAUUUCCUCUUCCCGUUUCUCUUUCAUCUGAGAACAAGUGAGAAACGCGAUCCUUUUCUUCUCCCAACCAAAGCAAAUCGAUCCACCACCGCCGGUGAGCCGCGACCACUCUCCUCCUUCUCCAUCCAUCACUGCCGCCGCGAUUACUCUCCUCCUUCUUCAGUUUAGAGAGUUAUCUCCAUCUCUCUCCACAAACCCUAAUUGUUGUAACUUGUAAGUAUUAUUGAUGUAGGACUAAACUUUUUACAUCUUAAACUGCUCCAAAUUGAAAGCUAAUGGAGUGGAAUGGAUGAUGACUCAAGAAGAUAUGCAGUUAAAAUGCCGUAUAUUUGAUGGUUGUUUGAAAUUGUGAAUAUUUUCAUGUAA